rnacentral:tRNA from 1 species
GCCCCCGUGGCGAAAUUGGUAUACGCAGGAGACUUAAAAUCUCCAGCUCUCAAAAGGGGCGUGCCGGUUCGAGUCCGGCCGGGGGCACCA